rnacentral:sRNA from 1 species
CUACCAGUAAGUGGGCCGUUUUGUAAUGGUUUUGGGAAGGAGGGAAAAAGAUGACCAGCCCAGUGAGGUUACUCAUAGGCACCGUCUUCAGAAUCAUUACUCAGUGUGCCCUCAGAAAACAGAUGCUGUUUAUGGAUCCUUAAAAGACAAUCCGCUGCUUUUUUACUUUUUAAUGUUAUUACCUGUGUAGCUCUGUUUGUCUUUCUAAUACUUGUAAUAGAGUGUGGGUGAGAGUUCAUUGGGGAGUGUUUAUUUUGGAAUGUUUUUUGUAGACUCUAUGGCUAGAUUCUGAAACUGCUCAUUUUAAAAAGUUUCAUCUGAUGGAAAUCUUCCCCAGCAAGCCGCGUCAGCCCCAAGCCGUGUGGCUGCAGUAGGUCCCUAUAUCCAGUCAUCUACUAUGCCUCGGAUGCCCUCAAGGCCUGAAUUGCUGGUGAAGCCAGCCCUGCCGGAUGGUUCCUUGGUCAUGCAGGCUUCAGAGGGGCCGAUGAAAAUACAGACACUGCCCAACAUGAGAUCUGGGGCUGCUUCACAAACUAAAGGCUCUAAAAUCCAUCCAGUUGGCCCUGAUUGGAGUCCUUCAAAUGCAGAUCUUUUCCCGAGCCAAGGCUCUGCUUCUGCACCUCAAAGCACUGGGAAUGCUCUGGAUCAAGUUGAUGAUGGAGAGGUUCCGCUGAGGGAGAAAGAGAAGAAAGUGCGUCCGUUCUCAAUGUUUGACGCAGUAGACCAGUCCACUGCCCCACCUUCCUUUGGUACUCUGAGGAAGAACCAGAGCAGUGAAGAUAUCUUGCGGGAUGCUCAGGCUGCAAAUAAAAAUGUGGCUAAAGUACCACCUCCUGUUCCUACAAAACCAAAACAGAUUAAUUUGCCUUAUUUUGGACAAACUAAUCAGCCACCUUCAGACAUUAAGCCAGACGGAAGUUCUCAGCACUUGUCAACAGUUGUUCCGUCCAUGGGACCUAAACCAAAACCAGCAGGGCAGCAGCCGAGAGUGCUGCUGUCUCCCAGCAUACCUUCAGUUGGCCAAGACCAGACCCUUUCUCCAGGUUCUAAGCAAGAAAGUCCACCUGCUGCUGCCGUCCGGCCCUUUACUCCCCAGCCUUCCAAAGACACCUUACUUCCACCCUUCAGAAAACCCCAGACCGUGGCAGCAAGUUCAAUAUAUUCCAUGUAUACGCAACAGCAGGCUCCAGGAAAAAACUUCCAGCAGGCUGUGCAGAGCGCGUUGACCAAGACUCAUACCAGAGGGCCACACUUUUCAAGUGUAUAUGGUAAGCCUGUAAUUGCUGCUGCCCAGAAUCAACAGCAGCACCCAGAGAACAUUUAUUCCAAUAGCCAGGGCAAGCCUGGCAGUCCAGAACCUGAAACAGAGCCUGUUUCUUCAGUUCAGGAGAACCAUGAAAACGAAAGAAUUCCUCGGCCACUCAGCCCAACUAAAUUACUGCCUUUCUUAUCUAAUCCUUACCGAAACCAGAGUGAUGCUGACCUAGAAGCCCUACGAAAGAAACUGUCUAAUGCACCAAGGCCUCUAAAGAAACGUAGUUCUAUUACAGAGCCAGAGGGUCCUAAUGGGCCAAAUAUUCAGAAGCUUUUAUAUCAGAGGACCACCAUAGCGGCCAUGGAGACCAUCUCUGUCCCAUCAUACCCAUCCAAGUCAGCUUCUGUGACUGCCAGCUCAGAAAGUCCAGUAGAAAUCCAGAAUCCAUAUUUACAUGUGGAGCCCGAGAAGGAAGUGGUCUCUCUGGUUCCUGAAUCAUUGUCCCCAGAGGAUGUGGGGAGUGCCAGUACAGAGAACAGUGACAUGCCAGCUCCUUCUCCAGGCCUUGAUUAUGAGCCUGAGGGAGUCCCAGACAACAGCCCAAAUCUCCAGAAUAACCCAGAAGAACCAAAUCCAGAGGCUCCCCAUCUGCUUGAUGUGUACCUGGAGGAGUACCCUCCAUACCCACCUCCACCAUACCCAUCCGGGGAGCCUGAAGGGCCUGGAGAAGACUCGGUGAGCAUGCGCCCGCCUGAAAUCACCGGGCAGGUCUCUCUGCCUCCUGGUAAAAGGACAAACUUGCGUAAAACCGGCUCAGAGCGUAUUGCUCAUGGAAUGAGGGUGAAAUUCAACCCCCUUGCUUUACUGCUAGAUUCGUCUUUGGAGGGAGAAUUUGACCUUGUACAGAGAAUUAUUUAUGAGGUUGAUGACCCAAGCCUGCCCAAUGAUGAAGGCAUCACGGCUCUUCACAAUGCUGUGUGUGCAGGCCACACAGAAAUCGUUAAGUUCCUGGUACAGUUUGGUGUAAAUGUAAAUGCUGCUGAUAGUGAUGGAUGGACUCCAUUACAUUGUGCUGCCUCAUGUAACAACGUCCAAGUGUGUAAGUUUUUGGUGGAGUCGGGAGCCGCUGUGUUUGCCAUGACCUACAGUGACAUGCAGACUGCUGCAGAUAAGUGCGAGGAAAUGGAGGAAGGCUACACUCAGUGCUCUCAAUUUCUUUAUGGAGUUCAGGAGAAGAUGGGCAUAAUGAAUAAAGGAGUCAUUUAUGCACUUUGGGAUUAUGAACCUCAGAAUGAUGAUGAGCUGCCCAUGAAAGAAGGAGACUGCAUGACAAUCAUCCACAGGGAGGACGAAGAUGAAAUUGAAUGGUGGUGGGCGCGCCUUAAUGAUAAGGAGGGAUAUGUUCCACGCAACUUGCUGGGACUGUACCCAAGAAUUAAACCAAGACAAAGGAGCUUGGCCUGAAACUUCAUGCAGAAUUUUAGUCAAUGAAGAAUUAAUCUCUGUUAAGAAGAAGUAAUACGAUUA